rnacentral:rRNA from 1 species
UACGGAGGAGGCAAGCGUUAUCCGGAAUUAUUGGGCGUAAAGCGUCCGCAGGUGGCACCUCAAGUCUGCUGUCAAAGACCGGGGCUUAACCCCAGAAAGGCAGUGGAAACUGAAGUGCUAGAGUGCAGUAGGGGUAGAGGGAAUUCCCGGUGUAGCGGUGAAAUGCGUAGAUAUCUGGAGGAACACCGGUGGCGAAGGCGGCAUCCUGGACCGAGAUUGACGCUGAGGCGCGAAAGCCAGGGGAGCAAACGGG